rnacentral:rRNA from 1 species
UUCCGUUAGGGGGACCUGCGGAGGGAUCAUUACACAAUACAAUAUGAAGGCUGUCCGCAGCUGGAGUAUUUUAUUACCCUUGUCUUUUGCGCACUUGUUGUUUCCUGGGCGGGUUCGCUCGCCACCAGGACCACCAAAUAAACCUUUUUUAUGCAGUUGCAAUCAGCGUCAGUACAAACAAUGUAAAUCAUUUACAACUUUCAACAACGGAUCUCUUGGUUCUGGCAUCGAUGAAGAACGCAGCGAAAUGCGAUACGUAGUGUGAAUUGCAGAAUUCAGUGAAUCAUCGAAUCUUUGAACGCACAUUGCGCCCUUUGGUAUUCCAAAGGGCAUGCCUGUUCGAGCGUCAUUUGUACCCUCAAGCUUUGCUUGGUGUUGGGCGUUUUUGUCUUUGGUCGCCCAAAGACUCGCCUUAAAGUGAUUGGCAGCCGGCCUUUCUGGUUUCGCAGCGCAGCACAUUUUUGCGCUUGCCAUCAGCAAAACGGCAAUCCAUCAAGCCUCCUUCUCACGUUUGACCUCGGAUCAGGUAGGGAUACCCGCUGAACUUAAGCAUAUCAAUAGCCCGGGAGGAA